rnacentral:rRNA from 1 species
AUACGGAGGAUCCGAGCGUUAUCCGGAUUUAUUGGGUUUAAAGGGAGCGUAGGUGGACAGUUAAGUCAGUUGUGAAAGUUUGCGGCUCAACCGUAAAAUUGCAGUUGAUACUGGCUGUCUUGAGUACAGUAGAGGUGGGCGGAAUUCGUGGUGUAGCGGUGAAAUGCUUAGAUAUCACGAAGAACUCCGAUUGCGAAGGCAGCUCACUGGACUGCAACUGACACUGAUGCUCGAAAGUGUGGGUAUCAAACAGGAUUAGAUGCCCUGGUAGUCCACACAGUAAACGAUGAAUACUCGCUGUUUGCGAUAUACAGUAAGCGGCCAAGCGAAAGCAUUAAGUAUUCCACCUGGGGAGUACGCCGGCAACGGUGAAACUCAAAGGAAUUGACGGGG